GGGUGUGAGCCUGGGCAGAGCGGCCGUCCGUGUAGAUAUUGGUGGUAGUAGCAAAUAUUCAAAUGAGAACUUUGAAGGCUGAAGAGGGGAAAGGUUCCAUGUGCACGGCACUUGCACAUGGAUUAGUCGAUCCUAAGGGUCAGAGAAACCCCGACAGAUAGCGCGUUACACACGUACUCCGAAAGGGAAUCGAGUUAAAAUUCCUGGACCGGGACGUGGAGGUCAAUGGCAACGUUAUAAAGUACGGAGACAUCAGCGGGAGCCUCGGGAAGAGUUAUCUUUUCUGUUUAACAGCCUGCCCACCCUGGAAUCGGCUCAGUCGGAGGUAGGGUCCAGCGGCUGAAAGAGCACCGUACGUCGCAUGGUGUUCGGUGCAUUACCGGAGGCCCUUGAAAAUCUAGAGAACCGAAUGCUGUCCACACCCGAUCGUACUCAUAACCACAUCAGGUCUCCAAGUGGAAUGACCUCUGGUCGAUGGAAUAAUAUAGGAAAGGGAAGUCAACAAAAUGGAUCCAUAACUUCUGGAAAAGGAUUGGCACUAAGGGCUGGGCAAGGGGGACCCAGUCCCAAACCCGUAGGCUAUUGGUGGACUACUCGAGCUGCUCCCAUAGCGAGAGCGGGUCACCGCGCGCCGGUCGGGGGACGGACUGGGAACGGUUCCUUCGGGGGCCUUCCCCGCACGUCGAACAACCAACUCAGAACUUGUACGAACAAGGGGAAUCCGACUGUUUAAUUAAAACAAAGCAUUGUGAUGGUCCCAACGGAUGUUCACAUAUUGUGAUUUCUGCCCAAUGCUCUAAAUGUUAAAGUGAAGAAAUUCAACCAAGCGCGGGUAAAUGGCGGAAGUAACUAUGACUCUCUUAAGGUAGCCAAAUGCCUCGUCAUCUAUUUAGUGACAUGCAUGAAUGGAUUUAUGAGACUCCCACUAUCCUUGCCUACUAUCUAGCGAAACCACAGCUAAGGAAACGGGCUUGGCAAAAUAAGCGGGUAAAGAAGACCCUCUUGAGCUUGACUCUACUUCGACUUUGUGAAAUGACUUGAGAGGUGUAGUAUAAGUGCGAGACUUAUGGAGAAAAUGAAAUACCACUACUUUUAACGUUAUUUUACUUAUUUCAUGAAUAAGAAAUAGGGCACUGCCCCUCUUUUUGGACCCAAGGCUUGCUCUGUGGGCCGAUCCGGGCGGAAAACAUUGUCAGAAGGGUAAAAGCUCAUUUGAUUCUGAUUUCUAGUACGAAUACAAACCAUGAAAGAGUGGCAUAAAUAUCCUUUAGACCUUUAGAAUUCGAAGCUAGAGGUGUCAGAAAAGUGUUACCACAGGGAUAACUAGCCUGUUGUAUCCAAGCGUUCAUAGCGCGUUGCUUUUUUAUCCUUUAAUGUCGGCUCUUCCUAUCAUUGUGAAGCAGAAUUCACCAAGUGUUGGACUAUUGACCCACCAAUAGGGAACGUAAGCUGGGUUUAGACCGUCGUGGGAUAGGUUAGUUUUACCCUACUUAUGACAGUGUCGCAGUAGUAAUUCAACCUAGUACGUGAGGAAACAUUGAUUCACAUAAUUUGUCAUUGCGCUUGGUUGAAAAGCCAGUGGCGCAAAGCUACUGUGUGCUGGAUUAUGACUGAAUGCCUCUAAGUUAGAAUCCAGGCUAGAAGCGAUGCAUGCGUCCGCUCUCCGCUUGUCGACCCGCAGUAGGAGCCUUGGCCCCCAAGGAAACAUGUCGUUUUCUAAGCCACCGCGGCGGAAGAGUCACGGUGGCUGACUUGAAGUAUAAUUUCAAUCGAGCGGUGGGUUGAAUCCUUUGCAGACGACUUAAAUAUGCGAUGGGGUAUUGUAAGUGGAAGAGUGGCCUUGCUGCCACGAUCCACUGAGAUUCAUCCAUUUGUCGCUCUGGUUCGUCCCUCCCCAUCCA
rnacentral:rRNA from 1 species